rnacentral:rRNA from 11 species
GUUUACUGCAACUACUCUGAAUUCACCAGAUCCUGUGUGAUGCUUGGAAGUUAAGCAGGGUCAAUUCUGGUUGGUACUUUAAUGGAAAUCUGCUAAUGAUACCAGGUGCUGUCUGCU